rnacentral:rRNA from 1 species
UACGAAGGGGGCUAGCGUUGUUCGGAAUCACUGGGCGUAAAGCGCACGUAGGCGGAUCUUUAAGUCAGAGGUGAAAUCCCAAGGCUCAACCUUGGAACUGCCUUUGAUACUGGGGAUCUUGAGUCCGGGAGAGGUGAGUGGAACUGCGAGUGUAGAGGUGAAAUUCGUAGAUAUUCGCAAGAACACCAGUGGCGAAGGCGGCUCACUGGCCCGGUACUGACGCUGAGGUGCGAAAAGCGUGGGGGAGCAAACAGGG